rnacentral:rRNA from 1 species
CCUACGGGAGGCAGCAGUGAGGAAUAUUGGUCAAUGGACGAGAGUCUGAACCAGCCACGUAGCGUGAAGGAUGACUGACCUCUGGGUUGUAAACUUCUUUUAUAUGGGAAUAAAAUGUUCCACGUGUGGGAUUUUGUAUGUACCAUUAGAAUAAGGCUCGGCUAACUCCGUGCCAGCAGCCGCGGUAAUACGGAGGGUCCGAGCGUUAUCCGGAUUUAUUGGGUUUAAAGGGUGCGUAGGUGGAUUGUUAAGUCUGUUGUGAAAGUUUGCGGCUCAACCGUAAAAUUGCAGUUGAAACUGGCAGUCUUGAGUACAGUAGAGGUGGGCGGAAUUCGUGGUGUAGCGGUGAAAUGCUUAGAUAUCACGAAGAACUCCGAUUGCGAAGGCAGUUCACUGGACUGCAACUGACACUGAGGCUCGAAAGUGUGGGUAUCAAACAGGAUUAGAUACCCCUGUAGUC